UACAGAGGGUGCGAGCGUUGUCCGGAAUCACUGGGCGUAAAGGGCGCGUAGGCGGGCGGCCAAGUCAGGGGUGAAAGCCCCCAGCUCAACUGGGGAAGUGCCUCUGAUACUGGUCAUCUUGAGGGAGGUAGGGGCGUGCGGAACUUCCGGUGGAGCGGUGAAAUGCGUAGAUAUCGGAAGGAACACCGGUGGCGAAAGCGGCGCGCUGGACCUCUUCUGACGCUGAGGCGCGAAAGCCAGGGGAGCAAACGGG
rnacentral:rRNA from 1 species